AUGCACGCUGGCGGCGUGCCUGAUACAUGCAAGUCGAGCGAACGGACGAGAAGCUUGCUUCUCUGAUGUUAGCGGCGGACGGGUGAGUAACACGUGGAUAACCUACCUAUAAGACUGGGAUAACUUCGGGAAACCGUAGCUAAUACCGGAUAAUAUUUUGAACCGCAUGGUUCAAAAGUGAAAGACGGUCUUGCUGUCACUUAUAGAUGGAUCCGCGCUGCAUUAGCUAGUUGGUAAGGUAACGGCUUACCAAGGCAACGAUGCAUAGCCGACCUGAGAGGGUGAUCGGCCACACUGGAACUGAGACACGGUCCAGACUCCUACGGGAGGCAGCAGUAGGGAAUCUUCCGCAAUGGGCGAAAGCCUGACGGAGCAACGCCGCGCGAGUGAUGAAGGUCUUCGGAUCGUAAAACUCUGUUAUUAGGGAAGAACAUAUGUGUAAGUAACUGUGCACAUCUUGACGGUACCUAAUCAGAAAGCCACGGCUAACUACGUG
rnacentral:rRNA from 1 species